GAUGAACGCUGGCGGCGUGCCUAAUACAUGCAAGUCGAGCGAACGGACGAGAAGCUUGCUUCUCUGAUGUUAACGGCGGACGGGUGAGUAACACGUGGAUAACCUACCUAUAAGACUGGGAUAACUUCGGGAAACCGGAGCUAAUACCGGAUAAUAUUUUGAACCGCAUGGUUCAAAAGUGAAAGACGGUCUUGCUGUCACUUAUAGAUGGAUCCGCGCUGCAUUAGCUAGUUGGUAAGGUAACGGCUUACCAAGGCAACGAUGCAUAGCCGACCUGAGAGGGUGAUCGGCCACACUGGAACUGAGACACGGUCCAGACUCCUACGGGAGGCAGCAGUAGGGAAUCUUCCGCAAUGGGCGAAAGCCUGACGGAGCAACGCCGCGUGAGUGAUGAAGGUCUUCGGAUCGUAAAACUCUGUUACUAGGGAAGAACAUAUGUGUAAGUAACUGUGCACAUCUUGACGGUACCUAAUCAGAAAGCCACGGCUAACUACGUG
rnacentral:rRNA from 1 species